rnacentral:rRNA from 1 species
UACGUAGGGGCCUAGCGUUGUCCGGAAUUAUUGGGCGUAAAGAGCUCGUAGGCGGUCUGUCGCGUCGGAUGUGAAAGCCCGGGGCUUAACCGCGGGUCUGCAGUCGAUACGGGCAGGCUAGAGUUCGGUAGGGGGAGACUGGAAUUCCUGGUGUAGCGGUGAAAUGCGCAGAUAUCAGGAGGAACACCGAUGGCGAAGGCAGGUCUCUGGGCCGAUACUGACGCUGAGGAGCGAAAGCGUGGGGAGCAAACAGG